rnacentral:rRNA from 1 species
GACGAACGCUGGCGGCGUGCUUAACACAUGCAAGUCGAACGGUGAAGCUCCAGCUUGCUGGAGUGGAUCAGUGGCGAACGGGUGAGUAACACGUGAGCAACCUGCCCCAGACUCUGGAAUAAGCGCUGGAACCGGCGUCUAAUACUGGAUACGAGAUCAAGCCGCAUGGUUAUGGUCUGGAAAGUUUUUCGGUUUGGGAUGGGCUCGCGGCCUAUCAGCUUGUUGGUGAGGUAAUGGCUCACCAAGGCGACGACGGGUAGCCGGCCUGAGAGGGCGACCGGCCACACUGGGACUGAGACACGGCCCAGACUCCUACGGGAGGCAGCAGUGGGGAAUAUUGCACAAUGGGCGAAAGCCUGAUGCAGCGACGCCGCGUGAGGGAUGACGGCCUUCGGGUUGUAAACCUCUUUCAGCAGGGAAGAAGCGAAAGUGACGGUACCUGCAGAAGAAGCACCGGCUAACUACGUG